rnacentral:lncRNA from 1 species
UUUUUUUUUUUUUUUUUUUUUUUUUUUUGGUGCCUGUAGCAUGCAGAAGUUGCUGGGCCCAGGAUCAAAUGCAAGCCACAGCAGUGAUCCAAAUCAUAGCAAUGACAAUGCUGGAUCCUUAACCACGAAGCCACCAGGGAACUCCAAGCAAGUGACUUUAAAACAAAUUUUUAAUUGAACCAAAGAAGAUUCUUCAAAAACCAAUGGAAAAAAAUGGAAAAAAAUAAAAGUCAUUUUUAAAAAAGAUGCUUUAAGUUCUAGAGCACUUUCCAAAAUUUGAAAGUUUCACAUACAUAAUAUCAUAUAAUCCCAUAACUCUUUUUUUUUUUUUCCCCUAGCCUUAUCUUUCCCCUCCCUGCUUCCUCUCCCCACUGGUAACUGCCGCUAGUUUGUCCCCUGUAUCUGCGAGUCUACCAAGCAAGUAACUAUUUUUUAUGGCCACGUCUGUGGCAUAUGGAAGUUCCCGGGUGGGGGAUUGACCCUGCACCUCCUCAGCGACCUGAGCUGCCACAGUCUGAUUCUUAACCCAUUGCGCCACAGCGGAACUCCGUGCGACUUUAGACUCUUCCAAGGAAACCAUUAGAUUCCUCAGCAGGGAAAGAGGAAUGACCCCUACUCCAGUGUCACUGUGCUCAUUACAGACCAACUCCUCACGAAUAAGAAAAAUUAGAUGAGCUGCUACAGGCGAAGUGGCCACACAGUGCCGGGCAUUUGGCACCACAAGGUUGGAGUCAUGAGUUGGCAUGAGCAUGGGAGCAUCCCUUCCUAAAGGGCAUUCCACGUCUUCUCCAGGCAUUUGGACUUGAGGGGAAAAAGCUACAAAAGGUUGUUAAUGGGAGAGCAAAGCGCCACCUCCACCCCCGUCCCCACCCCUGCCUGGACCGCAAGCUCACUGGGGUCGGGAAAGGGUCACCCCAGCCCUCAGCAAAGGGCCGGCAUACAGUCGGCGAGAAAGGGGAACCGGGCGAGCUCGGCAGCGCAGAAGCAGAGGGAAGGGAAAAGCAUCUUUUCAGGACGUCGCUGCUGAAGCCUGGAGGGAGGGAAAGUGGAUGAGAGACGAGAGACGGCCACCGUGCACGCUCCGCGGGUGGGGCAACGCCAGGAUGUAAUGAGGCGAAGAAAGGACGAGAAACAGGAUGUGGAUAUAAGAGCUAUGCGAGCCUCAAGCAACGCUUUCAAAACGUUUGCAUUAAUGUCUAAAGAUUUCCAAGGAGCAAAAAUUCAACUCCAAAGGGAUGGGACACUUUCUCGGGACGAGAGACGCCCUAGUUACCUGGAACAUGGACAUGAGCGAGCUUCCCCAGCUGAGAUGUGACUGCAAACUCCAAAGCAAACAGAAUUACCACCCCAGGGAGCUGUCACAAAGUUCACGCAUCUUGUGGCACAAAGAAGCCGCACGAUGCAGCUCAGGACCCCUCCCAGCAACAGAUGUGUGGGCCACAAAGGCAGCGGGAGACUGGAGUUUGCAGAAAACUGGGAAGAGGGUCCCUCAAUAGUCCUUCAGGGGCUGCUAAGAAUCAUCACCCGACACUGUUUCUGAAGCAACAGAAACAAUGCUUCUUUUUCUUUUUUCUUCUAUUUUAGGGAGGCACCCAGGCAUAUGGAGGUUCCCAGGUUAGGAGUCAAACUGGAGCUGGAGCUGCCAGCCUACGCCACAGCCACAGCAAUGCCAGAUCCGAGCCUCGUCUGCGACCUACACCACAGCUCACAGCAACACUGAGUCCUUCACCCCCUGAGCAAGGCCAGGGAUCAAAGCCGCAUCCUCAUGGAUCCUACUCAGGUUCCUUAACCUGGAGCCACAAGGGAGCUCCAGAGACAAUGUUUCAAUCAAUGUUUGUUGAGUGCAUGACUGACAGAUCACUUAAGCUUUAUAAUGUCCGAAGCCCUGUCACAGAUUUACAGCUUCCUUUUGACCUCAUAUUCCCCUGGACUCACUAGACGACUUCUCUCCUUCCUUUCUCACUCAAGUUUCCGAAUUUUUUUUUUUUUUUUUUUUUUUUUUGGACCACGCCUGAGGCAUGCGGAAGUUCCUGGGCCAGGGAUCAAACCUGUGCCAUAGCAGUGACAACACAACAUGCUUACCCCACUAAGGGAACUCCUCAAGUUUCUGAAUUGGAGCAAAGCUAGGGGCAAAAAUGUCUGUGUGCAGCUAGAUGGGAAAAAAAAUCCAAGCAGAGAAGAAAAAAACACGCCACCUGCAUGUAUGUUAUACAGCGGCACGUGCAGAGAGCGUGGACAGCAAGUGUACCUGUCUCGUUCACAUCACAUCCCUCUUUGGUUAACAGCAAAGAUUCUGGCCUUGACUAACCUCUAAUGGGGCUCUUCUGAGCUCUUUUCAACUAGGUCUCGACUUCUGGAGCUCCGUGUUCAUCUCUGC